UACGUAGGGUCCGAGCGUUGUCCGGAAUUAUUGGGCGUACAGAGCUCGUAGGCGGUCUGUCGCGUCGGCUGUGAAAUCCCGAGGCUCAACCUCGGGUCUGCAGUCGAUACGGGCAAACUAGAGUAUUGCAGGGGAGACUGGAAUUCCUGGUGUAGCGGUGAAAUGCGCAGAUAUCAGGAGGAACACCGGUGGCGAAGGCGGGUCUCUGGGCAAUAACUGACGCUGAGGAGCGAAAGCGUGGGGAGCGAACAGG
rnacentral:rRNA from 1 species